rnacentral:rRNA from 1 species
GGUGGAUUAGUGGCGAACGGGUGAGUAACACGUGGGCAAUCUGCCCUUCACUCUGGGACAAGCCCUGGAAACGGGGUCUAAUACCGGAUAACACCGGCCUUCGCAUGGAGGCUGGUUGAAAGCUCCGGCGGUGAAGGAUGAGCCCGCGGCCUAUCAGCUUGUUGGUGGGGUAAUGGCCCACCAAGGCGACGACGGGUAGCCGGCCUGAGAGGGCGACCGGCCACACUGGGACUGAGACACGGCCCAGACUCCUACGGGAGGCAGCAGUGGGGAAUAUUGCACAAUGGGCGAAAGCCUGAUGCAGCGACGCCGCGUGAGGGAUGACGGCCUUCGGGUUGUAAACCUCUUUCAGCAGGGAAGAAGCGAAAGUGACGGUACCUGCAGAAGAAGCGCCGGCUAACUACGUGCCAGCAGCCGCGGUAAUACGUAGGGCGCAAGCGUUGUCCGGAAUUAUUGGGCGUAAAGAGCUCGUAGGCGGCUUGUCACGUCGGGUGUGAAAGCCCGGGGCUUAACCCCGGGUCUGCAUCCGAUACGGGCAGGCUAGAGUGUGGUAGGGGAGAUCGGAAUUCCUGGUGUAGCGGUGAAAUGCGCAGAUAUCAGGAGGAACACCGGUGGCGAAGGCGGAUCUCUGGGCCAUUACUGACGCUGAGGAGCGAAAGCGUGGGGAGCGAACAGGAUUAGAUACCCUGGUAGUCCACGCCGUAAACGUUGGGAACUAGGUGUUGGCGACAUUCCACGUCGUCGGUGCCGCAGCUAACGCAUUAAGUUCCCCGCCUGGGGAGUACGGCCGCAAGGCUAAAACUCAAAGGAAUUGACGGGGGCCCGCACAAGCAGCGGAGCAUGUGGCUUAAUUCGACGCAACGCGAAGAACCUUACCAAGGCUUGACAUAUACCGGAAAGCAUUAGAGAUAGUGCCCCCCUUGUGGUCGGUAUACAGGUGGUGCAUGGCUGUCGUCAGCUCCUGUCGUGAGAUGUUGGGUUAAGUCCCGCAACGAGCGCAACCCUUGUCCUGUGUUGCCAGCAUGCCCUUCGGGGUGAUGGGGACUCACAGGAGACCGCCGGGGUCAACUCGGAGGAAGGUGGGGACGACGUCAAGUCAUCAUGCCCCUUAUGUCUUGGGCUGCACACGUGCUACAAUGGCCGGUACAAAGAGCUGCGAUGCCGUGAGGCGGAGCGAAUCUCAAAAAGCCGGUCUCAGUUCGGAUUGGGGUCUGCAACUCGACCCCAUGAAGUCGGAGUUGCUAGUAAUCGCAGAUCAGCAUUGCUGCGGUGAAUACGUUCCCGGGCCUUGUACACACCGCCCGUCACGUCACGAAAGUCGGUAACACCCGAAGCCGG